AUGCCUGAAGGUAGCCCAGCAUGAACACUAACAUUGGAAUGAUACAGAAAAGUUAGCAUAGACCCCUGCUCAAGGAUGACAUGCAAAUUCAUGAAGUGUUUCAUGUUUUA
rnacentral:snRNA from 1 species